rnacentral:rRNA from 1 species
GAUGAACGCUGGCGGCGUGCCUAAUACAUGCAAGUCGAGCGAACAGAUGAGGAGCUUGCUCCUCUGACGUUAGCGGCGGACGGGUGAGUAACACGUGGAUAACCUACCUAUAAGACUGGGAUAACUUCGGGAAACCGGAGCUAAUACCGGAUAAUAUAUUGAACCGCAUGGUUCAAUAGUGAAAGACGGUUUUGCUGUCACUUAUAGAUGGAUCCGCGCCGCAUUAGCUAGUUGGUAAGGUAACGGCUUACCAAGGCGACGAUGCGUAGCCGACCUGAGAGGGUGAUCGGCCACACUGGAACUGAGACACGGUCCAGACUCCGACGGGAGGCAGCAGUAGGGAAUCUUCCGCAAUGCGCGAAAGCCUGACGGAGCAACGCCGCGGGAGUGAUGAAGGUCUUCGGAUCGUAAAACUCUGUUAUUAGGGAAGAACAAAUGUGUAAGUAACUAUGCACGUCUUGACGGUACCUAAUCAGAAAGCCACGGCUAACUACGUG